GGCAUUGUGGCCCAGUGGUCUACGGCGUGGGGUUGAAGCUCCCAUCUCUUCGGAGGCCCGGGUUCAAAUCCCGGCGAUGUCG
rnacentral:tRNA from 1 species